AUUUCCUAUCCAUUUUCUGGUCCUGAAGGAUUUUCGUUCCUGACGGUUAAAAGGGAAGUUUGGUGCGGAUCUAGUCCAAUGCCAACGCUGCCCCCGCAACGGUAAAUAAGUUUAAAAUCAUCGAGAACCACUGUGCUUUGCAUGGGAAGGUAAUGAUUUUAGCAGUCCAUACUUAUAAGCCCGGAGACCUGCCUGAAAAUUUUAUUUGGU
rnacentral:ncRNA from 1 species